rnacentral:rRNA from 1 species
CAAUAUGAAGGUCAGGCUGAAGACCUUACCCGAUUAGCUGAGAGGUGGUGCAUGGCCGUCGUCAGUUCGUACUGUGAAGCAUCCUGUUAAGUCAGGCAACGAGCGAGACCCACGUCCACAGUUGCCAGCAUACCCUCCGGGGUGAUGGGUACACUGUGGAGACCGCCGCUGCUAAAGCGGAGGAAGGAGUGGGCAACGGUAGGUCAGUAUGCCCCGAAUCUCCCGGGCUACACGCGGGCUACAAUGGUUGGUACAAUGGGCAGCUACCCCGAAAGGGGAAGGAAAUCUCUUAAAGCCAAUCGUAGUUCGGAUUGAGGGCUGCAACUCGCCCUCAUGAAGCUGGAAUCCGUAGUAAUCGCGUUUCAACAGAACGCGGUGAAUACGUCCCUGCUCCUU